UACGUAGGGCGCAAGCGUUAUCCGGAAUUAUUGGGCGUGAAGAGCUCGUAGGCGGUUUGUCGCGUCUGCCGUGAAAGUCCGGGGCUCAACUCCGGAUCUGCGGUGGGUACGGGCAGACUAGAGUGCGGUAGGGGAGACUGGAAUUCCUGGUGUAGCGGUGAAAUGCGCAGAUAUCAGGAGGAACACCGGUGGCGAAGGCGGGUCUCUGGGCCGUAACUGACGCUGAGGAGCGAAAGCAUGAGGAGCGAACAGG
rnacentral:rRNA from 1 species